UACGUAGGGGGCAAGCGUUGUCCGGAAUCAUUGGGCGUAAAGCGCGUGUAGGCGGUCCGGUAAGUCCGCUGUGAAAGUCGGGGGCUCAACCCUCGGAUGCCGGUGGAUACUGUCGGGCUUGAGUACGGAAGAGGCGAGUGGAAUUCCUGGUGUAGCGGUGAAAUGCGCAGAUAUCAGGAGGAACACCAAUUGCGAAGGCAGCUCGCUGGGACGGUACUGACGCUGAGGCACGAAAGCGUGGGGAUCAAACAGG
rnacentral:rRNA from 1 species